GACGAACGCUGGCGGCGUGCUUAACACAUGCAAGUCGAACGGAAAGGCUCCAGCUUGCUGGAGUACUCGAGUGGCGAACGGGUGAGUAACACGUGGGCAAUCUGCCCUGCACUCUGGGAUAAGCCUGGGAAACUGGGUCUAAUACUGGAUAGGACCUUUCUCCUCAUGGGGUUUGGUGGAAAGUUUUUUCGGUGUGGGAUGGGCCCGCGGCCUAUCAGCUUGUUGGUGGGGUAAUGGCCUACCAAGGCGGCGACGGGUAGCCGGCCUGAGAGGGUGGACGGCCACAUUGGGACUGAGACACGGCCCAGACUCCUACGGGAGGCAGCAGUGGGGAAUAUUGCACAAUGGGCGGAAGCCUGAUGCAGCGACGCCGCGUGGGGGAUGACGGCCUUCGGGUUGUAAACUCCUUUCACCAUCGACGAAGGGUUUCUGACGGUAGAUGGAGAAGAAGCACCGGCUAACUACGUGCCAGCAGCCGCGGUAAUACGUAGGGUGCGAGCGUUGUCCGGAAUUACUGGGCGUAAAGAGCUCGUAGGUGGUUUGUCGCGUCGUCUGUGAAAUUCCGGGGCUUAACUCCGGGCGUGCAGGCGAUACGGGCAUAACUUGAGUACUGUAGGGGAGACUGGAAUUCCUGGUGUAGCGGUGAAAUGCGCAGAUAUCAGGAAGAACACCGGUGGCGAAGGCGGGUCUCUGGGCCGUUACUGACGCUGAGGAGCGAAAGCGUGGGGAGCGAACAGG
rnacentral:rRNA from 1 species